GGGGGACCUUCGGGCCUCUUGCCAUCGGAUGUGCCCAGAUGGGAUUAGCUAGUAGGUGGGGUAACGGCUCACCUAGGCGACGAUCCCUAGCUGGUCUGAGAGGAUGACCAGCCACACUGGAACUGAGACACGGUCCAGACUCCUACGGGAGGCAGCAGUGGGGAAUAUUGCACAAUGGGCGCAAGCCUGAUGCAGCCAUGCCGCGUGUAUGAAGAAGGCCUUCGGGUUGUAAAGUACUUUCAGCGGGGAGGAAGGGAGUAAAGUUAAUACCUUUGCUCAUUGACGUUACCCGCAGAAGAAGCUCCGGCUAACUCCGCCCAGCAGCCGCCGUUAUCAGGAGGGU
rnacentral:rRNA from 1 species